rnacentral:rRNA from 1 species
GAUGAACGCUGACAGAAUGCUUAACGCAUGCAAGUCUUUGGCGAAGCUGUGCUUGCACAGCCUAGCCAAGGCGGACGGGUGAGUAACGCGUAAGGAACUUGCCCUGCAGUCAGGGAUAACAGACGGAAACGACUGAUAAGACCUGGUAAAGUCAGGCGGACUCAUGUCCAGCCUGAUGAAAAGAGAUGCUGCAGGAGAGCCUUGCGUCCUAUUAGCUUGUUGGUGGGGUAACGGCCCACCAAGGCGAUGAUAGGUAGCCGGCCUGAGAGGGUGGACGGCCACAAGGGGACUGAGAUACGGCCCUUACUCCUACGGGAGGCGGCAGUGGGGAAUAUUGGACAAUGGGGGCAACCCUGAUCCAGCAAUUCUGUGUGCACGAUGAAGGUUUUCGGAUUGUAAAGUGCUUUCAGCAGGGAAGAAAAAAAUGACGGUACCUGCAGAAGAAGCGACGGCUAAAUACGUG